GAUGGAUCACCAACACACUUCCUCAACAUAGAAACAUGGAAUACCGGAUGAACUAAACUUAAGCUAGAUGGCAACUUCAACUCAUACGCAACUUUGCUUGCUCUCCGCAAAAUCUCAUAAGGACCAAUGUACCGAGGACUGAGCUUUCCUUUUUUUCCAAACCGCAUUACUCCCUUCAUAGGAGACACCUUAAGGAAAACCUUAUCCCCAACUGGAAACUCCAAGUCUCUACACCUAACAUCCGC
rnacentral:lncRNA from 1 species